AGUGGCUUAGAUGGCAUAGCUAUUCAGCAGAUUUCAGCUGGAACAUCCCAUAGUCUGGCAUGGACUGCUCUUCCUAGGGACAGACAAGUUGUUGCAUGGCACCGACCUUAUUGUGUAGAUCUUGAAGAGAGUACCUUCUCACAUCUGCGUUCUUUUCUUGAGAGAUACUGUGAUAAAAUAAACAGUGAGAUUCCCCCACUCCCUUUCCCAUCAUCAAGAGAACACCACAGUUUUCUCAAGCUGUGCCUGAAGCUACUUUCAAAUCACCUUGCUCUUGCACUUGCGGGAGGGGUGGCUACCAGCAUUCUCGGGAGGCAGGCAGGUCCACUUCGAAAUUUGCUCUUCAGACUGAUGGACUCAACUGUCCCAGAUGAAAUCCAAGAGGUGGUAAUUGAAACUUUGUCAGUGGGGGCAACCAUGCUGUUACCUCCAUUACGAGAACGGAUGGAAUUACUUCAUUCUCUUUUACCUCAAGGACCUGAUAGAUGGGAAAGCUUAUCUAAAGGACAGGUAGGCCUUUGCUUGCUAUGUAAGUAAACCAGUAGUAUCAUAAAAAUUUGGACUGAGAAGGAAGUAAAACUAAUCAAUUGC
rnacentral:sRNA from 1 species